UACGUAGGCAGCGAGCGUUGUUCGGAAUUACUGGGCGUAAAGAGUGUGUAGGCGGUGCUCUAAGUUCGGUGUGAAAUCUCCUGGCUCAACUGGGAGGGUGCGCCGAAUACUGAAUGACUAGAGUGCGGGAGAGGAAAGUGGAAUUCCUGGUGUAGCGGUGAAAUGCGUAGAUAUCAGGAGGAACACCGGUGGUGUAGACGGCUUUCUGGACCGUAACUGACGCUGGAGAACACGGAAAGCGUGGGUAGCAAACAGG
rnacentral:rRNA from 1 species